CCUACGGGGGGCAGCAGUGAGGAAUAUUGGUCAAUGGCCGUAAGGCUGAACCAGCCAAGUAGCGUGAGGGAAGACUGCCCUAUGGGUUGUAAACCUCUUUUAUGCGGGGAUAAAGGUGUCCACGCGUGGAUGUUUGUAUGUACCAUAUGAAUAAGGAUCGGCUAACUCCGUGCCAGCAGCCGCGGUAAUACGGAGGAUCCGAGCGUUAUCCGGAUUUAUUGGGUUUAAAGGGAGCGUAGGCGGGUUGUUAAGUCAGUUGUGAAAGUUUGCGGCUCAACCGUAAGAUUGCAGUUGAAACUGGCAGUCUUGAGUACAGUAGAGGUGGGCGGAAUUCGUGGUGUAGCGGUGAAAUGCUUAGAUAUCACGAAGAACUCCGAUUGCGAAGGCAGUUCACUGGACUGCAACUGACACUGAGGCUCGAAAGUGUGGGUAUCAAACAGGAUUAGAUACCCCUGUAGUC
rnacentral:rRNA from 1 species